rnacentral:rRNA from 1 species
AAUAGAUACCCUGGUAGUCCACGCCGUAAACGAUGAGUGCUAAGUGUUAGAGGGUUUCCGCCCUUUAGUGCUGCAGCAAACGCAUUAAGCACUCCGCCUGGGGAGUACGGCCGCAAGGCUGAAACUCAAAGGAAUUGACGGGGGCCCGCACAAGCGGUGGAGCAUGUGGUUUAAUUCGAAGCAACGCGAAGAACCUUACCAGGUCUUGACAUCUCCUGACAACCCUAGAGAUAGGGCGUUCCCCUUCGGGGGACAGGAUGACAGGUGGUGCAUGGUUGUCGUCAGCUCGUGUCGUGAGAUGUUGGGUUAAGUCCCGCAACGAGCGCAACCCUUGAUCUUAGUUGCCAGCAUUCAGUUGGGCACUCUAAGGUGACUGCCGGUGACAAACCGGAGGAAGGUGGGGAUGACGUCAAAUCAUCAUGCCCCUUAUGACCUGGGCUACACACGUGCUACAAUGGAUGGUACAAAGGGCUGCGAGACCGUGAGGUUAAGCGAAUCCCAUAAAACCAUUCUCAGUUCGGAUUGCAGG